rnacentral:rRNA from 1 species
CCUGAUGACCGAUAGAGAAGCAGUACCGUGAGGGAAAGGUGAAAAGAACCCCGGGAGGGGAGUGAAAUAGUACCUGAAACCUUGUGCUUACAAGCAGUCAGAGCACGUUAAAGUGUGAUGGCGUACCUUUUGUAGAAUGGUCCGGCGAGUUAUAGUCACUGGCGAGGUUAAGCAAUUCAGUUGUGGAGCCGAAGGGAAACCGAGUCUUAAUAGGGCGUCGAGUCAGUGGCCAUAGACCUGAAACCGGGUGACCUAUCCAUGAGCAGGUUGAAGUUGGUGUAAAAGCCAAUGGAGGACCGAACCCACGUUCGUUGCAAUGACCGGGGAUGACUUGUGGAUAGCGGAGAAAUUCCAAUCGAACUCGGAGAUAGCUGGUUCUCCCCGAAAUAGCUUUAGGGCUAGCCUCAUAUUAGAUACCCGGAGGUAAAGCACUGAAUGGCCUAGCGCCCGAGAGGGUAGCGAAGCCUAUCAAACUAAGAAUGCCGGAGUAUUGAUGUAUGGGAGUCAGACAGUGUGAGAUAAAUCUCAUUGUCAAAAGGGAAACAGCCCAGAUCUACAGCUAAGGUCCCAAAUUGUAUCUAAGUGGAAAACGAUGUGGAAAUACGCAGACAACCAGGAUGUUGGCUCAGAAGCAGCCACUCAUUUAAAGAGUGCGUAAUAGCUCACUGGUCGAGAGACCCUGCGCCGAAGAUUCCCGGGGCUAAAGUACGAAACCGAAGCUGUGGCUGUAUACGUAAAGUAUACGGGGUAGGGGAGCGUUCCCAUAGGGUAGAAGUCGAACUGGAAGGUUCGGUGGACUUGUGGGAAGUGAGAAUGUUGGUAUGAGUAGCGAAAAGAAAGGUGAGAAUCCUUUCCACCGAAAGCAUAAGGAUUCCUGAGCAACGAUCGUCGUCUCAGGGUAAGUCGGGACCUAAUCCGAGGCAGAGAGCGUAGGAGAUGGACAACUGGUUGAUAUUCCAGUACCGGUAGUAAUUGUUUGAGCAAUGGAGUGACACAGAAGGGCAGGCAAGCAUGCGAAUGGAAGAGCAUGUGUAAGCGUGUAGGGUGGUGCAUAGGCAAAUCCGUGCACUGAAAGCCUGAGGCGUGAUGCGGAGUGAGCAGAGAUGCGAGCGAAGUUGUUGACCCCACACUGUCGAGAAAAGCUUCUAGUGAGAGAGCUACCGCCCGUACCGUAAACCGACACAGGUAUGCGGGGAGAGAAUCCUAAGGUGCGCGGGAGAACCCUCGUUAAGGAACUCGGCAAAAUGUACCCGUAACUUCGGGAUAAGGGUAGCCACUGUUGUGAAGUCCCAUGCGGAUGGAGCAUAGAGUGGUCGCAGAGAAGAGGCCCAAGCGACUGUUUACCAUAAACACAGGUGCCUGCUAAAGCGAAAGCUGACGUAUAGGUGCUGACACCUGCCCAGUGCCGGAAGGUUAAGGAAGGAUGUUCGGAUUAGUCCAAAGCAUUCGACUGAAGCCCCGGUGAACGGCGGCCGUAACUAUAACGGUCCUAAGGUAGCGAAAUUCCUUGUCGGGUAAG